rnacentral:lncRNA from 1 species
GGUAACCGAGAUACAAAUUUAGAAUGACAGUUUAAGUUACGCUGUAUAAUGAUAUGCAUGGGUAAAUUGGAUGAAAAUUAUGGGGUUACUUUAGAUUAUUUUUUAUAAUUAUUGGGUUACUUUAGAUUAUUUUUUGUAAUAGUAAAUCUCGAUAAUUUAGAUAUAGUUUUAGAGGUUAACUUUAGAAUAUUUUCAUAAUGAUAGUGGUGGGUAGUUUUUUAGAAAAUAUAAUAGACCAAUGACUAUGAUUUUAUUGGAUUCAUGUUUGAUGUUUCUAAUUUUUAUAAGAAUUUUUAGGAUUUGUCCUUUUUCCUAGCAUGCCUUGGGAGAACUAAUACGGAGUCUCCAGCGGAAAAAAAAUGAGUAUACAUUGCUACAAAACUAUUACCUUGAGCUACCUCUCAUUUGUUAAAUAUUCAAACGCAAUACUUAUUAUCUUCA